rnacentral:pre_miRNA from 1 species
CCGCGGUGAAAAGGGUGUUAAAUGAAGACUGAGAGCUUCGGGCAUAUCGAAGAAAAUAGGACAUCGUUUGAAUGCUCGUCUAAUGGA